rnacentral:lncRNA from 1 species
CCCUCGAAGGGAUCCGUCCCGUGGAAGACGAGUCCGUGGCUCGGGAAAGUGACGCUUGAGCCUGCAGAUUUCUGGGAACGACGCGGGUUCUCGCGAGGGCCACCCAGGUCCUGAAGGAGUUAAAAGACAGCGAAGUCUGCAAGCUGGAUUUGCAGUCGUGCUGGCAGAGCAAGUUGUUCCACUGAAACCUAUUUAUGACAGCCUGCAGUUAGAAGACUUCUAAGCAGAACCUUAAUUUUUAAAAUCUCAACACUCAGUGACAUUUUCAGCUACAAUAUGGAAGAGUUGAGAGAAGCUGAGUAUUUUCUGUGAAAUCCAGCACUCUUUGCGUGCAUAGUCGCUGAUCUGCCACUGCUGCCCACAAGCAUCCGAGGAUGACAAGUCUUUCAGUCUACUAACAGAAACAGGAACCAACCUGUUCAAAAG